UACAGAGACUGCAAGCGUUAUUCGGAUUCACUGGGCGUAAAGGGUGCGCAGGCGGCCAAGUGUGUGAGGCGUGAAAGCCUGGAGCUUAACUCCAGAAUUGCACCUCAAACUACUUGGCUAGAGCAUUGGAGAGGGUAGCAGAAUUCAUGGUGUAGCAGUGAAAUGCGUAGAGAUCGGGAGGAACACCAGUGGCGAAGGCGGCUCGCUGGGCCGGACCUGACGCUGAGACGCGAAGGCGUGGGGAGCGAACGGG
rnacentral:rRNA from 1 species